GGCUUCAUAGCUCAGUUGGUCAGUAGAGCAUCGCACCAGUAACGCGGAAGUCAUGGGUUAAAAUCCCAUUGAAACCA